UGACAUCAAUAUAUAAAUCCUCUCACUUUUACAUAACAUUAUUCAAAAGAUUUUUGUAUAUAGUUUUAUUAUUGACAUUAAUUAUCAUGCCUCUUAUAUAAAGAUCUGACAAAGAUUUUGUAUCCUGAACAUCCUCCCUGAAGGUCAUUGUAUAACACAUAAUAUGUGGAUGCUACAGUAUCUAUAUAGGUUGUACAUAGAAUUCUAUUUAUAUUGAGAGAACUAAUGUCAUAUAUUAGAAUAUUCUUGCAAGUUACUGUAUGAGGUAUGUCUUGUUGUUUGCUGCGUCAGCUCCACACUUUUGUUUGGUUUAUUUUCAUUCUCCCCUUGUCUGUCACUGACCACGAAGUGGUGUACUUGUUGUGAAGUGUACCAUAACCACUUACUUCCGUCAUUUAAACACAUUAUUAUGUAGCUAUUAUGCUAGUAAACUCACAACAUCCCUCUAACAUGAUAAUCAUGUCAACUAUGUAAAAUCAAACAGGUAUUCAAAAUCAUGUACAAGAUUUACAUUGAGCAGUUCCUUAUUCAAUGUUUUUGUAAGGUUGUGAAUAUGCAUUUUAGUAUGUUUAAAUGUAUAUAUUUUCUUGAAUGUAUUUUAUGCACUAUAUACUGCAAGAGAAUGAGUUCUUAUCAUUAUAUGAAAGGAAAUCACAAUUUAUAUGAAUAUAUUGUACAGCUUAUGUAAGUAUUUUCUUCAUUAAAAUCAGGAAACACC
rnacentral:misc_RNA from 1 species